CUCGAGGCCAGAUCUAGAGUUUGAUCCUGGCUGAGGACGAACGCUGGCGGCGUGCCUAAUACAUGCAAGUCGAGCGGAUCGAUGGGAGCUUGCUCCCUGAGAUCAGCGGCGGACGGGUGAGUAACACGUGGGUAACCUGCCUGUAAGACUGGGAUAACUCCGGGAAACCGGGGCUAAUACCGGAUAAUUUAGUUCCUCGCAUGAGGAACUGUUGAAAGGUGGCUUCGGCUACCACUUACAGAUGGACCCGCGGCGCAUUAGCUAGUUGGUGAGGUAACGGCUCACCAAGGCAACGAUGCGUAGCCGACCUGAGAGGGUGAUCGGCCACACUGGACUGAGACACGGCCCAGACUCCUACGGGAGGCAGCAGUAGGGAAUCUUCCGCAAUGGACGAAAGUCUGACGGAGCAACGCCGCGUGAGUGAAGAAGGUUUUCGGAUCGUGAAACUCUGUUGUUAGGGAAGAACAAGUGCCGUUCGAAUAGGGCGGCACCUUGACGGUACCUAACCAGAAAGCCACGGCUAACUACGUGCCAGCAGCCGCGGUAAUACGUAGGUGGCAAGCGUUGUCCGGAAUUAUUGGGCGUAAA
rnacentral:rRNA from 1 species